UACUGUGCGGCAGCGUACACGUUCAAAGUCGCCACGCAGCCGAUUGUUUUUGCCGGCGAGCGGCCUUGCCAUUUGUUUCAUCAACGCUCGGAGUACCUGCCGAAGUCACUCAGCUAAUCAUUCUCCCUGAAUAUCACACAGUUGCGUCUUACAGAGUCGCGAGUGCAUUCGAGAAAAUAGUUCCGAAAUUCAGGAGUUAUAUCUUCAGGAGCAUUAUGCAUUAUAUGUAUAUCGUCAGCUACAAUUAACUGAAGUGCAACCGUGCGAGUGCAAUGAAUAAAUUCGAGAAAAUGAAGAAACUUGAGAGAUAUCGGACGUUACAAUCCGAUAUGGUUAUUAUUAUACUUACUGUUAGCUGCUGCGCACCUGUAUAUAUAUAAUCGUACCUUAAAGUACUUCUUUCCCACGGAUAUGACCUUGGCGAGGUGGGAGGGCUCAGUACCCCGAGGAUGUUAUACCCAAGCAAAACUCGAUCUUAUUCUGUUUGGACAAAAAUCCAAAGACGGGGAAGCUAACGUACCCUCGUCCGUCGAUUUAAUUGAAUAAACGAAUCGUAGCCGGUUCGUCGCGUUUGCUUCGGGAGUGCCGUUCAAGUAAUCGGACUAAAGGACUUUUUCAAAGUCCAUGGCAUUUGAAGAAUAUUACGGCGACGGAAUAUCUUCAAAUGGGCUUUAUAAACGGGAGUGCCGAUACAGUGUAUCGCGCGAAAGACUUUUACUCAUAUUUAGUCCGCGCGCGAUUGUAGUUUAUUAUCCGCGAGUGUUUCUCGCGAGUGUCCUGUUCGGUGAGAGGAGGAG